GACGAACGCUGGCGGCGUGCUUAACACAUGCAAGUCGAACGGUAAGGCCCUUCGGGGUACACGAGUGGCGAACGGGUGAGUAACACGUGGGUGAUCUGCCCUGCACUUCGGGAUAAGCCUGGGAAACUGGGUCUAAUACCGGAUAGGACCACUGACUGCAUGGGGGGUGGUGGAAAGCUUUUGCGGUGUGGGAGGGGCCCGCGGCCGAUCAGCUUGUUGGUGGGGUGAUGGCCUACCACGGCGACGACGGGUAGCCGGCCUGAGAGGGUGACCGGCCACACUGGGACUGAGAUACGGCCCAGACUCCUACGGGAGGCAGCAGUGGGGAAUAUUGCACAAUGGGCGCAAGCCUGAUGCAGCGACGCCGCGUGAGGGAUGACGGCCUUCGGGUUGUAAACCUCUUUCAGCACCGACGAAGCGCAAGUGACGGUAGGUGCAGAAGAAGGACCGGCCAACUACGUGCCAGCCGCCGCAGUAA
rnacentral:rRNA from 1 species